GUCUUAUUGAUAAUAAUUUUAAGUCAAUCUGCCCAAUGAAAUAUUUUAAUGGCUGCAGUAUAAAUAACUGUGCAAAGGUAGCAUAAUCAAUUGAUUUUUAAAUGAAAUCUGGAAUGAAAGGAUUAAUGAAAUAUAUACUGUCUCAUAUUUAUUUUAUAAAUUUAAAAUUUUAAUAAAAAUGUUAAAAUUUAUUUAUGGGACGAUAAGACCCUAUAGAAUUUUAUAUUAAUUUAAUUUUAUAAUUAAUUUAAAAUUUAAUUUAAUAUUUAAUUGGGAGAAUUAUUAAAUUUAUUAAAUUUUGAUUAAUAAAAACUUAAAUUAAAGAAAAUAUUUUGAUCUUAAAUUUUAAAUUAUUUGAUUAAAUUACCUUAGGGAUAACAGCGUUAUAUUUUUUUAUAGAUCUUAUAGAAAAAAAUGAUUGCGACCUCGAUGUUGAAUUAAGAUAAAUUUUAAAUGCAGAAAUUUAAUGAUUAAGUCUGUUCGACUUUUAAAAUCUUACAUGAUUUGAGUUCAAAUCGACGUAAGU
rnacentral:rRNA from 1 species